rnacentral:rRNA from 1 species
AGUGAACGCUGGCGGUAGGCCUAACACAUGCAAGUCGAACGGCAGCACAGUAAGAGCUUGCUCUUACGGGUGGCGAGUGGCGGACGGGUGAGGAAUACAUCGGAAUCUACUUUUUCGUGGGGGAUCACGUAGGGAAACUUACGCUAAUACCGCAUACGACCUACGGGUGAAAGCAGGGGAUCUUCGGACCUUGCGCGAUUGAAUGAGCCGAUGUCGGAUUAGCUAGUUGGCGGGGUAAAGGCCCACCAAGGCGACGAUCCGUAGCUGGUCUGAGAGGAUGAUCGGCCACACUGGAACUGAGACACGGUCCAGACUCCUACGGGAGGCAGCAGUGGGGAAUAUUGGACAAUGGGCGCAAGCCUGAUCCAGCCAUACCGCGUGGGUGAAGAAGGCCUUCGGGUUGUAAAGCCCUUUUGUUGGGAAAGAAAAGCAGCAGGUUAAUACCCCGCUGUUCUGACGGUACCCAAAGAAUAAGCACCGGCUAACUUCGUG